rnacentral:lncRNA from 1 species
GCAACCCACUCCAGUACUCUUGCCUGAAAAAUCCCAUGGAUGGAGAAGCCGGGUAGGCUACAGUCCAUGGGGUCGCAAAGAUUCGGACACGACUGAGCAACUUCAGGUUUGUCAUAGCUUUCUUCCAAGGAACAAGCAUCGUUUGAUAUACCCUAGUCAAUACCAGACUUGUCAAUAGCCUAGAGAAGAGGUAUGUUUCAUUGACAGGAAAAUAAUGCUGAGAGAAAAGUUCCUGUGGGCUCAGGGAGAAUGAUGAAAACGUGGCCUCUUUUGGUCCCACCUGAAGAGGAAACGAGAGAAUACAGGGCAUAUAUACAGGAACCCAGUUCAUAUGAGGGACAACAAAAUGGUGUUGUUGAAGGAGCCAGGCUGCAAGUUGGGCGGGAAGUGAUGUGGUCAUGGCUGGUGAGGUCUGCCAGGUCUCUGGGGCCAGGAAUUCCCUGCUGCCUUUGUUGACAUGUGGACUCUGGAAACCUGGCUGUGUCUGUUCCUAUGGGACUAGCAGUUCAUUUCUGUAGCCUCAAAAAUUCUGGAAAUCAUGUUAUUUUACGUAGUUUGCAUUUGGGGAGUUAGUUCUUUACUGUUCUCUCUCUGAAUUUAGUGACCUUUCCUUGGCAUAUCCAUCUUUCUCAGCUGUGCUAAAUGAAGCUAUGGAUACCAAAUUAAGCCCAUACUUGGGCCAGAACCGUAAAGCUGUACUUCACCCCUCUGCCCGACUCUCACGGUCUAUAUGGUGGCAGUGGCAGGAAAAGCCAGGGGAGUGCUUUCAUAUGGGAGAUCAGAGACUUUGGUGGGGGCUCUUUGGCCAACUACCUUUACUUGCCAGAGUCUCCUCCUCCUCCCCACAAAAUGGGAGGUUCUGUGUUUUACUUUUAUUUCUUUGUAAGAGACUGUUGCUAAAGUCCAGGUAGAGAUGGAGGGUCUGAAUUAAGCUAGUGUUUAUUGGGGAGAAGUGGCCACACACACACACACACACACACACAUACAUACCCAGCCAGUGCAGCUCAGUUUCUGUUUUGUGUGCACAGCAGCUUGUUUCCCAUCCUGUUGGAUCUCUGUGCUUUUUUUACAUCACAGCUCUGCCUGGCUGUAACCCUCUGCCUGGGAUCUGCCUUCUUUCAUUAUCACCAUCUACAACAGUCUCUCAGGUGAGAUGGGGCUAUGUCUGGGAACAUGCUACCACUUCAGAAUCCAAAUGCCAGCCUAUCUAGUCUAAAGAUGAAUGGGAUGAGUUUGUUGCAUUUCAUGAAACAGAGGUUAACUAAGAAAUGAACAAUAUGAACUCUGAGCCCCACAGGACCCUUCCCUGUCAGGGGGUCCACUCAGGGCAGGACAUCAUAUAGCUCUUGGAAUAAAGGUUUUUCAGAGAGGAGACAAGAUGAAGCUGACUCUCCAUAUCUAGGGAGUCCAAAUGUUUUUCAUUUUUGUGUUUGUUUUUUUCCCCAGAUGUGUUUUGGGAACUAAACAUUUCUGAGAAAUUUUAAUAUCAAAACCAGGGGGAAAAUGGGAGAAAAAAGGAAUCACUAUCAUCUU